GCAUGUUCUCACUACAGCUCCCACAGUCCUCUGCAGGAGUGGAAUAGAGGUGGUCGAGGCCAUAGACAUAUAUACGUCUAUGGUCGAGGCAGAGAGAUGAUAUUUUCCUUCGUGGGUUCUCAUCAGACAGAAACUUCAGCCGUACAAAGUGUUCCCUACUGCCAGAGGUCUGCGUGCAUGUGUGCAUGCAUGCGUGUGAUUGCAUGGUCAUGUGCCUGCGCUUGCAUGUGUGCGUGCACAGCACCCACAUGUGGGAUGCCUUUUUUUUUUCUUUUUUUGAAGCAGCAGUGGAAAUAUUGACAGCUGAUAGAAAUUAAAGUGGUUUAUUUAUAGCUGCUUCUGUGGCCACGCACCAGCGGAAUUAAAUCGGCUCCACCUAAAUCCAGCAAGAUCCCCUCCGACUGGAAAAUAUCAUCACCACACAUUCGUCCGCCCAAGGCUAAUUUGUGACAGCUCUGGAGAAACAGCUGUGGAGUUUCAAGGCGAAUUGGUUGGACUUCAGGCAGAGCUCGCUGGGCUGCUGGGAUUCUCCCCUGGGCGUUUCAGCGUGGUGCUUCACCUGAAGUGCUCCUGUGGAAAAUCUGCCCCCUGUACCCCCAUCCCCAAACCCCCCCCGAAGCCUCACGUGCCGGUUAUCUCAACAUCAGUACAUCGCAGGGACCGGAGAGCUGAGCCCUGACCGUGGAAGCAGAGGAUGCUGGGAAACCUGACAUGGGCAGCGGCAUUUUCCAGUUCUGGUUGGCUCCUGAGGUGGAUGGUCUACCACCUGGUCUACCACCUGGUCUCCUGAAAACUUAUUAGAAACAGCUUCUACGAUGAUGCACGGCAGAAUAGUGUAGAAGAUAUUAAAAAUGAUUUUUUUAAAUCCCCACAGAGGAAAAUUGUUUUCCACUUGGUGGUAAAUAUGCAAAAGCAUGUGUGCACUUCAUCACAGCCACAUUAAACACAACAACAUGGCCACAUAACAAAUGUAUAAAUUCAGAUUCUUCAGUCUCAAAAUAGACCGUGAAUGAAUCUGCAAAAAAAAGUGUUUUAUAGUUUGUCAGGGAUUUUCAUUUCACCUCUUGCUGAUGCAAAUACCCACAGAGGCCUGCAAUUUGUCAUGUUAUGGAGGGAAAUGUCAAACACCUCAUUUGUUCUGUUAAGUUUCCUUACAAUGAAUAAAAACAUAAUGAUGAACUCAAAACGAAUCACUUUUUUGAU